rnacentral:rRNA from 1 species
AUGGCUCAGGAUGAACGCUAGCGGCAGGCUUAACACAUGCAAGUCGAGGGGCAUCGGGAGUAGCAAUACUUGCCGGCGACCGGCGCAAGGGUGCGUAACGCGUGAGCAACAUGCCCGUAUCAGGGGGGAUAAUCCAUGGAAACGUGGUCUAAUACCCCAUAGUAAUUAUGUAAGGCAUCUUAUAUAAUUUAAAGCUUUGGUGGAUACGGAUUGGCUCGCGUGACAUUAGCUAGAUGGUAAGGUAACGGCUUACCAUGGCUACGAUGUCUAGGGGUUCUGAGAGGAAGGUCCCCCCACACUGGAACUGAGACACGGUCCAGACUCCUACGGGAGGCAGCAGUGAGGAAUAUUGGACAAUGGAUGGAAAUCUGAUCCAGCCAUGCCGCGUGCAGGAAAGGACGGCCCUAUGGGUUGUAAACUGUCUUUUGUAUGGGAGCAAUAAGGGCUACGUGUAGUCCGAUGAGAGUACCAUACGAAUAAGCACCGGCUAACUCCGUGCCAGCAGCGGC